GGAGCGGUGAUGACCCUAACAUGCCAUCUGAUUGCCCGUGCUGAAAUCCAGAGGCUGUUUCUGAGCUG
rfam:Otolemur garnettii contig161056, whole genome shotgun sequence.